GCGGGAUUCGUUUAAUGGUAAGACAUCAGUUUUCCAAACUGAGGACAGGAGUUCGAUUCUCCUAUCCCGCA
rnacentral:tRNA from 1 species